rnacentral:lncRNA from 1 species
GAGCCUCUCUCUUCUGACGACAUGCCCAGCUGUAUCACAGAGGAGAGUGUUAAGUCAGAACGGCGAUCUCCAUGACGACGGAGGGGAGCGGCUACCAAAAUGACCUUCCAAAGGACGGCCACCUCUGAAUGCUGUGAUACAGUGGUAACAUGGGAAAAUAAAGUCUAGCUAUUAGGAAUGAACUCUGUGAGGAGAAAGGAACCUUUAUUUAGGAAUUGUGUGAGAGAAAAGAGAGGUACAAGGAAAAUACAUUUCGAAGAUCUAACGACCACCACUUAUCUUAUCUCAAGACAAUAUUCAACUCUGUCAAAAUCCUAACAGUAAAGGAAAAAGGUAAACAAGGAAAAGUUCUUUAAAAAAAGAUUUAUUUAUUUUAUGUAUAUGAGUACACUGUAGCUGUACACAUGGUUGUGAGCCUUCAUGUGGUUUUUGGGAAUUGUAUUUAGGAUUUCUGCUUGCUCCCUUCAACUCCGCUCACUCAGUCAACUCCACUCUCUCAGUCCCUGCUCGCUCUGGCCCAAACAUUUAUUUAUUAUUAUAAAUAAGCACAGUGUAGCUGUCUUCAGAUGCACUAAGAGGAGGGUGUCAGAUCUCAUUACGGGUGGUUGUGAGCCACCAUGUGGCUUGAACUCAGAAGAGUAGUCAGUGCUCUUACCCACUGAGCCAUUUUUGCCAGCCCGAA